rnacentral:rRNA from 1 species
UAGGGAAUAUUGGACAAUGGGUGAGAGCCUGAUCCAGCCAUGCCGCGUGCAGGAAGAAGGCGUUAUGCGUUGUAAACUGCUUUUUGCCAGGGGAUAAAAAGACCGUGCGCGGUUAAUUGAAGGUACCUGGUGAAUAAGCCACGGCUAACUACGUGCCAGCAGCCGCGGUAAUACGUAGGUGGCAAGCGUUGUCCGGAUUUAUUGGGUUUAAAGGGUGCGUAGGCGGUUUAUUAAGUCAGUGGUGAAAGACGGUCGCUCAACGAUUGCAGUGCCAUUGAUACUGGUAGACUUGAGUAUGAUUGAGGUAGCUGGAAUGGAUAGUGUAGCGGUGAAAUGCAUAGAUAUUAUCCAGAACACCAAUUGCGUAGGCAAGUUACUAAGUCAUAACUGACGCUGAGGCACGAAAGUGCGGGGAUCAAACAGGAUUAGAUACCCAAGUAGUCCCUGAGCGGGCUGGCAAGGCGCAU